AGAGUUUGAUCAUGGCUCAGAUUGAACGCUGGCGGCAGGCCUAACACAUGCAAGUCGAGCGGUAGCACAGAGAGCUUGCUCUCGGGUGACGAGCGGCGGACGGGUGAGUAAUGUCUGGGAAACUGCCUGAUGGAGGGGGAUAACUACUGGAAACGGUAGCUAAUACCGCAUAACGUCGCAAGACCAAAGUGGGGGACCUUCGGGCCUCAUGCCAUCAGAUGUGCCCAGAUGGGAUUAGCUAGUAGGUGGGGUAACGGCUCACCUAGGCGACGAUCCCUAGCUGGUCUGAGAGGAUGACCAGCCACACUGGAACUGAGACACGGUCCAGACUCCUACGGGAGGCAGCAGUGGGGAAUAUUGCACAAUGGGCGCAAGCCUGAUGCAGCCAUGCCGCGUGUGUGAAGAAGGCCUUCGGGUUGUAAAGCACUUUCAGCGGGGAGGAAGGCGUUAAGGUUAAUAACCUUGGCGAUUGACGUUACCCGCAGAAGAAGCACCGGCUAACUCCGUGCCAGCAGCCGCGGUAAUACGGAGGGUGCAAGCGUUAAUCGGAAUUACUGGGCGUAAAGCGCACGCAGGCGGUCUGUCAAGUCGGAUGUGAAAUCCCCGGGCUCAACCUGGGAACUGCAUUCGAAACUGGCAGGCUAGAGUCUUGUAGAGGGGGGUAGAAUUCCAGGUGUAGCGGUGAAAUGCGUAGAGAUCUGGAGGAAUACCGGUGGCGAAGGCGGCCCCCUGGACAAAGACUGACGCUCAGGUGCGAAAGCGUGGGGAGCAAACAGGAUUAGAUACCCUGGUAGUCCACGCCGUAAACGAUGUCGAUUUGGAGGUUGUGCCCUUGAGGCGUGGCUUCCGGAGCUAACGCGUUAAAUCGACCGCCUGGGGAGUACGGCCGCAAGGUUAAAACUCAAAUGAAUUGACGGGGGCCCGCACAAGCGAUGGAGCAUGUGGUUUAAUUCGAUGCAACGCGAAGAACCUUACCUGGUCUUGACAUCCACAGAACUUUCCAGAGAUGGAUUGGUGCCUUCGGGAACUGUGAGACAGGUGCUGCAUGGCUGUCGUCAGCUCGUGUUGUGAAAUGUUGGGUUAAGUCCCGCAACGAGCGCAACCCUUAUCCUUUGUUGCCAGCGGUUCGGCCGGGAACUCAAAGGAGACUGCCAGUGAUAAACUGGAGGAAGGUGGGGAUGACGUCAAGUCAUCAUGGCCCUUACGACCAGGGCUACACACGUGCUACAAUGGCAUAUACAAAGAGAAGCGACCUCGCGAGAGCAAGCGGACCUCAUAAAGUAUGUCGUAGUCCGGAUUGGAGUCUGCAACUCGACUCCAUGAAGUCGGAAUCGCUAGUAAUCGUAGAUCAGAAUGCUACGGUGAAUACGUUCCCGGGCCUUGUACACACCGCCCGUCACACCAUGGGAGUGGGUUGCAAAAGAAGUAGGUAGCUUAACCUUCGGGAGGGCGCUUACCACUUUGUGAUUCAUGACUGGGGUGAAGUCGUAACAAGGUAACCGUAGGGGAACCUGCGGUUGGAUCACCU
rnacentral:rRNA from 1 species